rnacentral:rRNA from 1 species
CGGAGCACCCAGGAAGACAGCCGUGGUGAUACAGCGACCCCGCAGCCGUGAUGAACGCCUUCGGGUCGUACACCUCUGUCUUCGGGGAGGAAGGCGUGGUGGUUUAUGACCUCGGCGACUGAUAUUUACCUGACAACAACCCCCGGGUUACUCCGUGCCCGCAGCCGCGGUAAUAACGGA